rnacentral:rRNA from 1 species
UGGGGAAUAUUGCACAAUGGGCGAAAGCCUGAUGCAGCGACGCCGCGUGAGGGAUGACGGCCUUCGGGCUGUAAACCUCUUUCAGCAGGGACGAAGCGCAAGUGACGGUACCUGCUGAAGAAUCACCGGCUAACUACGUGCCAUCAGCCUCGGUAAUACGUCGGGUGCAAGCGUUGUCCGGAAUUACUGGGCGUAAAGAGUUCGUAGGCGGUUUGUCGCGUCGUUUGUGAAAGCCAGCAGCUCAACUGCUGGCUUGCAGGCGAUACGGGCAGACUUGAGUACGGCAGGGGAGACUGGAAUUCCUGGUGUAGUGGUGAAAUGCGCAGAUAUCAGGAGGAACACCGGUGGCGAAGGCGGGUCUCUGGGCAGUAACUGACGCUGAGAAACGAAAGCGUGGGUAGCGAACAGG